GAGCUAGUCCUCAAAAGGUAGGCAGGAUUUCAACAGGCAGGGUUGCUAAUGAUAGCUUAAUGCUGAUAAAUAUCUUACUAUGUGUGAGACAUUGUUCUACAUGGUUUCCAUAUGUUAACACACUAAAUCCUCACAACAGCUCUGUGAAUAACAGAGUCACGACUAUCCCAUUUUACAGAUUAGGAAACCAAGGCCCAGGGAGGUUAACUGAGGAGCCCAGAUCACACAGCUGGCAAGUAGCAGAGUCCACGUCGAAACGCAGGCAGCCUAUCUCUUUACCAUGUCUCCAACUGGGGCAGAGAUGGAGGUAUAUAUCAUUCCUGGCAGAGAGAAAAAUGUAAGCAACGCUCUGACAGUCUUGGCUUGGUCAAUGUCUGGCACAACACAGCAAUUAAGACUGUGGGCUUUAAAGAGAGGGGCUGCAUCUUUAAUGUGAUUUUAGAUGAUAUGCUGUAUGAGUCAGAAUAGCUUAGGUUACGCUGCAGUAAAUAAACAACCUGAAAGACUUAAUGAAUUAUAACACCAAGCUUAUUUCUUGCUUGUGAUUUAUCCAUUGAAAGGACAUUUGGGCUGUUUCCACCUUUUGGCUAUUGUAAAUAAUGCUAUGAGGAACGUAUAUUUGAAUCCCUGUUUUCAACUUUUUUGGGUAUAUACCUAGGAGUGGAAUUGCUGGGUCAUAUGGCAAUUCUGUGUCUAACUUUGUGAAGUACCGUCAAACUAUUUUCCACAGGGGCAUUUUACUUUCCCACCAGCCAUGUCUAAAUUCUCUGAUACAUUUUAACUUGGACCUAGAGAGUGGCUCUUAGUUCCUUCCUGGUCAUGGUGAGGGCUACUUGUC
rnacentral:lncRNA from 1 species